rnacentral:rRNA from 1 species
AAUGAACGUUGGCGGCGUGGAUUAGGCAUGCAAGUCGUACGGGUCCGGUUGUAAGGUUGGGUCAGUGGCGCAAGGGUGAGUAAGGCGACGGCAACCCAUCCCACGGCCGGGUAUAGCCGCGGGAAACCGCGGGUAAUCCCCGGCGACGCGGCGCGCCGGCAUCGGCGCGCCGCCAAAGCUCCGGCGCCGUGGGACGGGCCGUCGUGGUAUUAGGUCGUGGGCGGGGUAACGGCCCACCAAGCCGGCGAUGCCUACCGGGUGUGCGAGCGCGGUCCGGCACACUGGGACUGAGACACUGCCCAGACUCCUACGGGAGGCUGCAGUCGAGAAUCUUCGGCAAUGGGCGCAAGCCUGACCGAGCGACGCCGCGUGGAGGACGAAGGCCCUCGGGUUGUAAACUCCUGUCGAGGGGGAGGAAGGGGCCGCAAGGCCCUUGACCGAUCCCUGGAGGAAGCACGGGCUAAGUUCGUGCCAGCCGCCGCCGUAAUAC